UUAAAUGGGGGAUUUUCGAGGAGAAAAUGGGUGAUUUGGGGGUAAAAUGGGAAGUUUUCGAAGAGAAAAGGGGUGAUUUCACUUAAAUGGGGAUUUUUGAAGAGAAAAGGGGUGAUUUUCACUUAAAGGUGGGAUUUUCGAAGAGAAAAUGGGUGAUUUUUUCUUAAAUGGGGCAUUUUUGUCGGGAAAAUGAUUUUCAAGUUAAAUCUGGGUUUUCGAAGGGAAAUGGGGUGAUUUUCCCUUAAAUGGGGGGUUUUUGAGGAGAAAAUGCGUGAUUUUCCAAAUAAUUGGGGAUUUUUGAAGGGAAAAUGGGUGAUUUUCGAGUUAAAUCUGGGAUUUUUGAAGGGAAAAUGGGUGAUUUUUGGGUUAAAUGGGAGAUUUUUGAAGAGAAAACGGGUGAUUUCUGCUUAAAUGCGUGAUUUUUUAGCUAAAUGUUGGAUUUUCGAAGAGAAAAUGCAUGAUUUACCCUUAAAUGGGGGAUUUUCGAGGAGAAAAUGCGUGAUUUGGGGGUAAAAUGGGAAGUUUUCGAAGAGAAAAGGGGUGAUUUUCACUUAAAUGUGGGAUUUUCGAAGAGAAAAUGGGUGAUUUUUUCUUAAAUGGGGCAUUUUUUCGGGAAAACGGGUGAUUUUCGAGUUAAAUCUGGGAUUUUUGAAGGGAAAAUGGGUGAUUUUCGAGUUAAAUCUGGGAUUUUUGAAGGGAAAAUGGGUGAUUUUUGGGUUAAAUGGGAGAUUUUUGAAGAGAAAACGGGUGAUUUCUGCUUAAUUGCGUGAUUUUUUAGCUAAAUGUUGGAUUUUCGAAGAGAAAAUGCAUGAUUUACCCUUAAAUGGGGGGUUUUUGAGGUGAAAAUGCGUGAUUUUCCAAAUAAUUGGGGAUUUUUGAAAAGGGGAAAAUGGGUGAUUUUCGGGUUAAAUGGGGGAAUUCUGAAGAGAAAAUGG
rnacentral:lncRNA from 7 species